UUGUGAUGACCGUGGCUUUUUCAGUGGUCGAAGAAGAUGACGUUUCGCGGUGGUUGUUGGUUAUUAUUGGAGAGCAAUGAGGGAAGUGGAUCGGUUGUGGGUGGAAUAAUGGAGAAAAGAGAAGUGGUUUGAUGAGAAUUGUAGUGGAUAGGAGAUGAUGAGGGUGGUGUUACGGUGGUGUGUUGGGUUGCUCCGACGAUGGUUUGUAGAAGGAGGUUGAAGUGGUGGUGGUCGGGUUUGAAGGGCGAUGGAUGGAGAGGUGUGAAGGAUGGAUGUUAGGUCAGAGGUAGAGCU
rnacentral:lncRNA from 1 species